rnacentral:rRNA from 1 species
UACGUAGGGCGCAAGCGUUGUCCGGAAUUAUUGGGCGUAAAGGGCUCGUAGGCGGUCUGUCGCGUCGGGAGUGAAAACUCGGGGCUUAACCCCGAGCGUGCUUCCGAUACGGGCAGACUAGAGGGAUGCAGGGGAGAAUGGAAUUCCUGGUGUAGCGGUGAAAUGCGCAGAUAUCAGGAGGAACACCGGUGGCGAAGGCGGAUCUCUGGGCCGAUACUGACGCUGAGGAGCGAAAGCGUGGGGAGCGAACAGG